rnacentral:rRNA from 1 species
UACGGGGGGGGGAAGCGUUGUUCGGAAUUACUGGGCGUAAAGGGCUCGUAGGCGGCCAACUAAGUCAUACGUGAAAUCCCUCAGCUUAGCUGGGGAACUGCGUGUGAUACUGGAUGGCUUGGAUUUGGGAGAGGGAUGCGGAAUUCCAGGUGUAGCGGUGAAAUGCGUAGAUAUCUGGAGGAACACCGGUGGCGAAGGCGGCAUCCUGGACCAAUAUUGACGCUGAGGAGCGAAAGCUAGGGGAGCAAACGGG